UACGAAGGGUGCAAACGUUGCUCGGAAUUAUUGGGCGUAAAGCGCACGUAGGCGGCUUUUUAAGUCAGGGGUGAAAUCCUGGAGCUCAACUCCAGAACUGCCUUUGAUACUGAAGAUCUUGAGUUCGGGAGAGGUGAGUGGAACUGCGAGUGUAGAGGUGAAAUUCGUAGAUAUUCGCAAGAACACCAGUGGCGAAGGCGGCUCACUGGCCCGAUACUGACGCUGAGGCACGAAAGCGUGGGGAGCAAACAGG
rnacentral:rRNA from 1 species